GUGCUCACUUUGGCAGCACAUAUAUUAAAAUUAGAACAAUAGAAGAGUAGCAUGACCCCCAAGCAAGGAUGACACACAAAUUCUUGAAGCAUUUCAUAUUUUG